rnacentral:rRNA from 1 species
UACGUAGGGUGCGAGCGUUGUCCGGAAUUAUUGGGCGUAAAGAGCUUGUAGGCGGUUUGUCGCGUCUGCUGUGAAAUCUCAAGGCUCAACCUUGAGCUUGCAGUGGGUACGGGCAGACUAGAGUGUGGUAGGGGAGACUGGAAUUCCUGGUGUAGCGGUGAAAUGCGCAGAUAUCAGGAGGAACACCAAUAGCGAAGGCAGCUCGCUGGGACGUUACUGACACUGAGGCGCGAAAGCGUGGGGAGCGAACAGG